rnacentral:rRNA from 1 species
CUACGGGCGGCAGCAGUGGGGAAUAUUGGACAAUGGGGGAAACCCUGAUCCAGCAAUGCCGCGUAUGUGAAGAAGGCCUGCGGGUUGUAAAGCACUUUCGGUUGGGAGGACUGCUUCUAGCACUAAUAUUGUUGGAAGUUGACGUUACCUUCAGAAGAAGCACCGGCUAACUCCGUGCCAGCAGCCGCGGAAUACGGAGGGUGCAAGCGUUAAUCGGAAUUACUGGGCGUAAAGCGCGCGUAGGCGGCUAGAUCAGUCGGGUGUGAAAGCCCAGGGCUUAACCUGGGAACUGCAUCCGAUACUGUCUAGCUUGAGUACAGGAGAGGAGAGUGGAAUUCCACAUGUAGCGGUGAAAUGCGUAGAUAUGUGGAGGAACACCAAUGGCGAAGGCAGCUCUCUGGCCUGAUACUGACGCUGAGGUGCGAAAGCGUGGGGAGCAAACAGGAUUAGAUACCCUUGUAGUC